GUGCAGCUGGCGAGAAUUUUUCUCAAUGGGGGCAACCCUGAAGGAGCGACGCCGCGUGGAGGAUGAAGGCUUUCGGGUUGUAAACUCCUGUCAUUUGAGAACAAGUGUUAGCAAGUAACUACUGCUAGCUUGAUAGUAUCAGAAGAGGAAGGGACGGCUAACUCUGUGCCAGCAGCCGCGGUAAUACAGAGGUCCCAAGCGUUGUUCGGAUUCAUUGGGCGUAAAGGGUGCGUAGGUGGCGCGCUAAGUCAGGUGUGAAAUCUCGGGGCUUAACUCCGAAACUGCAUUUGAUACUGGCGUGCUUGAGGACUGGAGAGGAGACUGGAAUUCAUGGUGUAGCAGUGAAAUGCGUAGAGAUCAUGAGGAAGACCAGUGGCGAGGGCGGGUCUCUGGACAGUUCCUGACACUGAGGCACGAAGGCCAGGGGAGCAAACGGGAUUAGAUACCCCGGUAGU
rnacentral:rRNA from 1 species